AGGGCGUAUGGGGAAUGCCUAGGCACACUCCGGCGAAGAAGGACGCAGCAAACAGCGAAAUGCGACGGUGAGCGGUAAGCACGUGAAGAGCCGUCGAUAUCCGAAUGGGGGAACCCACACGGAGUCAUAUCCGUGUAUCACAUGUCGAAUACAUAGACAUGAUGAGGCGAGACGCAGGGAACUGAAACAUCUAAGUACCUGCAGGAAGAGAAAAUAAGAAUGAUUUUCUGAGUAGCGGCGAGCGAAAGGGAAAGAGCCCAAACCGAUUUGAGGAUCGGGGUAGUAGGAUCAUCGAUAAAUCAAACAGAGGAUCAUAGAGGAAUCACAUGGGAAGGUGAGCGAGAGAGGGUGAGAGCCCCGUACUCGAAAUGAGAGACUGGAGAGAGAUGACACCUGAGUAGGGCGGGACACGAGAAAUCCUGUCUGAAUCAGCCGGGACCAUCCGGCAAGGCUAAAUACGAGAGAGUGACCGAUAGUGAACCAGUACCGUGAGGGAAAGGUGAAAAGAACCCCGGGAGGGGAGUGAAAGAGAACCUGAAACCAUAUGCCUACAAGAAGUCAGAGCCCGUUAAAGGGUGAUGGCGUGCCUUUUGUAGAAUGAACCGGCGAGUUACUGUAUGGAGCGAGGUUAAGCAGGAUAUGCGGAGCCGAAGCGAAAGCGAGUCUUAAGAGGGCGCGAGUUGCAUGCAGUAGACCCGAAACCGGGUGAUCUAGCCAUGACCAGGUUGAAGUUGGGGUAAAACCCGAUGGAGGACCGAACCGACCCCCGUUGAAACGUUGGCGGAUGAGUUGUGGCUAGGGGUGAAAUUCCAAUCGAACCCGGAGAUAGCUGGUUCUCCCCGAAAUAGCUUUAGGGCUAGCGUCGAGAGAAGAGUUGCGUGAAGGUAGAGCACUGAAUAUGUGAUGGCCCCAUCUCGGGGUACUGAGCAUAAUCAAACUGCGAAUGUCACGAGAACAUGCUCGGCAGUCAGACAGCGGGUGAUAAGGUCCGUUGUCAAGAGGGAAACAGCCCAGACCAUCAGCUAAGGUCCCAAAAUGUAUGCUAAGUGGAAAAGGAUGUGGAGAUGUACAGACAACUAGGAGGUUGGCUCAGAAGCAGCCAUCCUUUAAAGAGUGCGUAACAGCUCACUAGUCGAAUGACUCUGCGCCGAUAAUUUACCGGGGCUAAGCAUACUACCGAAGCUAUGGAUCCCAAGGGAUGGUAGGGGAGCGUUCCAUGAACGGAGAAGUACGACCGAAAGGACGUGUGGAGAUCAUGGAAGAGAGAAUGCCGGUGUGAGUAGCGGAACGUGGGUGAGAAUCCCACGCACCGAAAACCCAAGGUUUCCAGAGGAAGGUUCGUCCGCUCUGGGUAAGUCGGGACCUAAGGCGAGGCCGAAAGGCGUAGUCGAUGGACAACAGGUAGAGAUUCCUGUACCCGUAUAUAUGUGAAGGAAUGACGGAGAGAGGAAGCUGCAGCCAGCGGCUGGAAGAGCUGGUGCAAGCGAGAUAUCGGGAUGGCAGGCAAAUCCACCAUCCGAAACGAGAAGGCGUGAAGCGUACGGAAAGCUACGGCGAGUACGGAAGGCAGUGGAGGAACUUCCAAGAAAAGUUUCUAACGUUAAGUAUAUAUGGCCCGUACCGAAAAUGGACACACAUGGGUGAGGAGAGAAUCCUAAGGUGAGCGAGAGAACUAUAGCUAAGGAACUCUGCAAAAUGACUCCGUAACUUAGGGAGAAGGAGUGCUCAUAGAGAUAUGAGCCGCAGUGAAACGGCCCAAGCGACUGUUUACCAAAAACACAGCUCUCUGCUAAGCCGCAAGGCGAAGUAUAGGGGGUGACGCCUGCCCGGUGCUGGAAGGUUAAGGGGAGGGGUUAACGCAAGUGAAGCCCUGAACUGAAGCCCCAGUAAACGGCGGCCGUAACUAUAACGGUCCUAAGGUAGCGAAAUUCCUUGUCAGGUAAGUUCUGACCCGCACGAAAGGCGUAACGAUUUGGGCGCUGUCUCAGCUGUAGACUCGGUGAAGUCUUAGUACCUGUGAAGAUGCAGGUUACCCGCGACUAGACGGAAAGACCCCAUGGAGCUUCACUGCAGGUUGAUAUUGGGAUUUGAUGCAGCAUGUACAGGAUAGGUAGGAGGCAAAGAGAUGGAUACGCCAGUAUUCAAGGAGCCGCUGUUGGGAUACUACCCCUGUUGUAUUGGAUUUCUAACCGGACGACGUAGAGCCGUUGACGGGACAGUGUCAGUCGGGCAGUUUGACUGGGGCGGUCGCCUCCCAAAGAGUAACGGAGGCGCCCAAAGAUACCCUCAGCUUGGAUGGAAACCAAGCGCAGAGUGCAAAGGCAAAAGGGUGUUUGACUGCGAGACCUACAAGUCGAGCAGGGACGAAAGUCGGGCUUAGUGAUCCGGCGGUGCUGAAUGGAAAGGCCGUCGCUCAACGGAUAAAAGCUACCCUGGGGAUAACAGGCUGAUCUCCCCCA
rnacentral:rRNA from 1 species